GCAGUAGCUCAGUGGCAGAGCAUCCACCUGGAAUGCAGAAGGCCUCAGGUUCAAUCCCCACCAUCUCCA